UACGAAGGGGGCUAGCGUUGCUCGGAAUCACUGGGCGUAAAGCGCACGUAGGCGGAUUCCUAAGUCAGGGGUGAAAUCCCGGGGCUCAACCCCGGAACUGCCUUUGAUACUGCGAAUCUCGAGUCCGGAAGAGGUGAGUGGAAUUCCUAGUGUAGAGGUGAAAUUCGUAGAUAUUAGGAAGAACACCAGUGGCGAAGGCGGCUCACUGGUCCGGUACUGACGCUGAGGUGCGAAAGCGUGGGGAGCAAACAGG
rnacentral:rRNA from 1 species